UCCCUCUUCUCUUUUCCAAAUGAAUUUCCCCAAAUUGAAUCCCAAUCCCUAACUUCUCCAUUUUCCCCUUUCUUCUCGGCAAAUUUCACCGCUGCGCCGAUCGUCGCCGGUGUCACUGCUUCCAGCAAUUCAGCGCCGACGCGAGGAUCUAUGGAUGAGGUAACGCCGUCGGUCUGCCGUCGCUGUUGGUUCGAGACCUAGAAGUCGGUGCUCUGCCGUCAGUUUAGAGCCGCCAUCAUCGGCUCCUACCACUUGGUUCUAUCAGCCCUUGCUCCUCACUCGUCGGCUGCGAGGCUCCGUUUGUCCUUUGUGCUCACAACAGCGUCGGCUCUCUACCACUGCUUCUUGGUGAAAACAGAGUCGUCGCCACUGAUUGAAGCUACAACGAUGACGCCCCGUCUGUCGGGUUCGAGUUUGAGAGCCCCUUUCUCAUCCUCUGCUCCUGCUGAUGCCUUGCACGAGCAGCUACUGCUUCACCGAUGUCAAGUGUCAUUACUGCCCCGAUGAGUCCGUGUGGCUGCCUUCAUGGCCUCGCCGUCACCGGUAGUCAUUGGGCAGCCCUUCCGGCCCUAAAGCUAAGUUCUUUUUGCCUUAACACACUUAGUUUGAUUGAUUGUGAAUUUUGGGCAGUAGCUAUGUGGUGCUAAAGCUUUGUUCUUCGUUGGUAGUCAUGAUAAUUUAUUACUGAUCUUGGGCUAAAAGAAAUCAUAUGAUAUUUCUUGUUCCAAGUUGUGUGAUUUGGAAAUCCUAAAGCUUUUAAGUUCUUUUAGCAUGAGGUUCUAAUGUGAUGCAAGAUGGGAGUAUUUUGAUUACCUGUUGUGGAGCUAUGAAAAGUGUGGAUGAACUCCCCCUUUGCUGCUUAGUUCCCGGUCCUCACAGAACAGAAAUAUGCUGAAUUUUUGAUGUGGUGUAAGAGAAGAUUGAGGGUGGUAAGGAGGGGUCUUUAUAGGUGAUUUGGUAACUGCAAAAUCUGCAACUCUUAUCCUCUUGCAGGGACAUUUUUGUUGGUUGUGAGAGUGUACUCGUAUAUUCAGAUCUGGGCUGCCUUAUUCUUGUUUUAUCUUGCUGCCAUUUUAACUGCAUUUGGGUGUAUGUGGAGCUUAGUGCUUUAGCUAUUAAAUGACUUGGUUGCUGUGGAAGGUACUCAAGAAAGGGGCAAAGAUUGUUACUGCAGCUCUGCAGUUUGUUGCAGCUGGAAGGCAGACAUUGCAGGCUCAUUUGCCCCAUUGCAGCCUGCGGUUAAGGCUGGGAAAGGGCAGGGAUGGAAUAAGGACCCAUCAUGUCCGGCUGCCACCUUGAUGUUCUGAUCUCAACAGGCUGUCGAAGCCGGGCCGAAAUUCGGGCAUAAGGAAGAGGCCGAGACUUAGCAUUUCUACUUGUAAUAGAAUUGAGUCUUCUCUCUUGUUCUUUUCCAAGCUUUCUCUCCUUUCAAACAAAAUGUAUAGAAUUACUUCUAAAAUUUAGUGUGUAUCAUUCUUCUUCUAUUUUCAUCAAGCAUCUUGUAAACUUAUACUUAGCUUGGAAAUUCAAAAUACUAUGUUUUGAUUACUCAAGAACAUAAAUAAAUACUCUUUCAUCUUUCUUUCUUUAAA